GGGCGCAUGGUUUAGUGGUAUAAUAAUCGCUUAGCAAGUUGAUCUUUAUUAACAAGUUUGUGAUUGGUCCUGGGUUCGAUUCCCAGUGCGUCCA